rnacentral:rRNA from 1 species
UACGUAGGGAGCAAGCGUUGUCCGGAAUCAUUGGGCGUAAAGAGCGUGUAGGCGGCUAGGUAGGUCCGUUGUGAAAACUCGAGGCUCAACCUCGAGACGCCGAUGGAAACCAUCUGGCUAGAGUCCGGAAGAGGAGAGUGGAAUUCCUGGUGUAGCGGUGAAAUGCGCAGAUAUCAGGAAGAACACCCGUGGCUAAGGCGGCUCUCUAGUACGGUACUGACGCUGAGACGCGAAAGCGUGGGGAGCGAACAGG